ACGUAGGACGCAAGCGUUAUCCGGAUUUAUUGGGUUUAAAGGGUGCGUAGGCGGACAAAUAAGUCAGCGGUGAAAGACUGUCGCUCAACGAUAGCAUUGCCAUUGAUACUGUAUGUCUUGAGUACAAUUGAGGUAGGCGGAAUGUGUAGUGUAGCGGUGAAAUGCUUAGAUAUUACACAGAACACCGAUUGCGAAGGCAGCUUACUAAAUUGUUACUGACGCUGAGGCACGAAAGCGUGGGGAUCAAACAGGAUUAGAUACCCUGGUAGUCCACGCCGUAAACGAUGAUCACUGGUUGUUAGCGAUAUACAGUUAGCGACUGAGCGAAAGCAUUAAGUGAUCCACCUGGGGAGUACGUCGGCAACGAUG
rnacentral:rRNA from 1 species